CGGGGGAGCAAGCGUUGUUCGGAUUUACUGGGCGUAAAGGGCGCGUAGGCGGCCACCGCAAGUCGACUGUGAAAUCUCCGGGCUUAACCCGGAAAGGUCAGCCGAUACUGCGGGGCUAGAGUGCAGAUGGGGCAACUGGAAUUCUCGGUGUAGCGGUGAAAUGCGUAGAUAUCGAGAGGAACACCUGCGGCGAAGGCGGGUUGCUGGGCCGACACUGACGCUGAUGCGCGAAAGCUAGGGGAGCGAACGGGAUUAGAUACCCCGGUAGUCCUAGCCUUAAACGAUGAAUGCUUGGUGUCUGGGGUUUUAUAGUCCCCGGGUGCCGUCGCUAACGCUUUAAGCAUUCCGCCUGGGGAGUACGGUCGCAAGACUG
rnacentral:rRNA from 1 species